AUUGAACGCUGGCGGCAUGCUUUACACAUGCAAGUCGAACGGUAACAGGCCGCAAGGUGCUGACGAGUGGCGAACGGGUGAGUAAUGCAUCGGAACGUGCCCAGUCGUGGGGGAUAACUACUCGAAAGAGUAGCUAAUACCGCAUACGAUCUAUGGAUGAAAGCGGGGGACCGUAAGGCCUCGCGCGAUUGGAGCGGCCGAUGUCAGAUUAGGUAGUUGGUGGGGUAAAGGCUCACCAAGCCAACGAUCUGUAGCUGGUCUGAGAGGACGACCAGCCACACUGGGACUGAAACACGGCCCAGACUCCUACGGGAGGCAGCAGUGGGGAAUUUGGGACAAUGGGCGCAAGCCUGAUCCAGCAAUGCCGCGUGCAGGAAGAAGGCCUUCGGGUUGUAAACUGCUUUUGUACGGAACGAAACGGCUCUGGUUAAUACCCGGGGCUAAUGACGGUACCGGAAGAAGAAGCACCGGCUAACUACGUG
rnacentral:rRNA from 1 species